rnacentral:rRNA from 1 species
GGAGGGGUGCCGAAGUCCGCUCGAUAGCGUGUGCUGAGGCGCCCUUCCAUCCUUCUGUUAACGUUUCUUGGUAUUCAGUUACUGGUUUCGGGCUCAGAUAUUUUACCUUGAGAAAAUUAGAGUGUUCCAGGCAGGCUUGCGCCGGAAUACAUUAGCAUGGAAUAAUAGAAUAGGACUUUUGUCUCCUUUGUUGGUUUGAGGGACUGAAGUA